UACGAAGGGGGCUAGCGUUGCUCGGAAUCACUGGGCGUAAAGCGCACGUAGGCGGGUUCUUAAGUCAGGGGUGAAAUCCUGGAGCUCAACUCCAGAACUGCCUUUGAUACUGGGAAUCUCGAGUCCGGGAGAGGUGAGUGGAACUGCGAGUGUAGAGGUGAAAUUCGUAGAUAUUCGCAAGAACACCAGUGGCGAAGGCGGCUCACUGGCCCGAUACUGACGCUGAGGCACGAAAGCGUGGGGAGCAAACAGG
rnacentral:rRNA from 1 species